GGGGAAUAUUGCACAAUGGACGAAAGUCUGAUGCAGCAACGCCGCGUGGAGGAUGACACAUUUCGGUGCGUAAACUCCUUUUAUAUAAGAAGAUAAUGACGGUAUUAUAUGAAUAAGCACCGGCUAACUCCGUGCCAGCAGCCGCGGUAAUACGGAGGGUGCAAGCGUUACUCGGAAUCACUGGGCGUAAAGAGCGUGUAGGCGGAUUGAUAAGUUUGAAGUGAAAUCCUAUAGCUUAACUAUAGAACUGCGUUGAAAACUGUUAAUCUAGAAUGUGGGAGAGGUAGAUGGAAUUUCUGGUGUAGGGGUAAAAUCCGUAGAGAUCAGAAGGAAUACCGAUUGCGAAGGCGAUCUACUGGAACAAUAUUGACGCUGAGACGCGAAAGCGUGGGGAGCAAAC
rnacentral:rRNA from 1 species